ensembl:lncRNA
AAGAAGAACUGGCACAGAAGGAGAGAAACACACUAAAUACACGAGGAAGAUUGUAUUUUUUGCGGUGCUAUAUUGUAGUGCAUUACUACUAAGAGGUAAUUAGGGACAGGUGAAAACAAUUAACGCGACGGGGAACAAUCACAAGCGGGAAACACAUGGGCCGGAAGUGUUGCAGCAUGUAGCUAUGGAGAAGGGCGAGACGUGACAAAGGAAACCGGGGCACCAGCGCAGUGGGGCAGUGCCUUGAAAGUGACCCUUAUGUACCUGAGCAUAUGGUGAAAUCACUGGACAAAUGGAUCCCAAUGUUUGGCUGUCUCCCCUCUCACCUACGGACCCCCGCUGGCGGCGAGGGGCAGAGUGGAGAGGACAUCUUCCAAGUUGCAUUUCUGGCGGGCUACUGUUGUACUUAAAGUGGUGUCAUGGAGCCUGCUGUGGCUCCCAGAGGUCUUGGCUCGCUUCUGUCUGCACAUCAAUGACUACCCCCUCUCUCUGGGAAGAACCACCCGCAAAGGUUAAUGAGCUUAAAGGGAGCUCAGAGAGAGCUCAUUAAACUGAUC